CUGACCUCAAAUCAGGUAGGACUACCCGCUGAACUUAAGCAUAUCAAUAAGCGGAGGAAAAGAAACUAACAAGGAUUCCCCUAGUAACUGCGAGUGAAGCGGGAAAAGCUCAAAUUUAAAAUCUGGCGGUCUUUGGCCGUCCGAGUUGUAGUCUGGAGAAGCGUCUUCCGCGUUGGACCGUGUACAAGUCUCUUGGAACAGAGCGUCAUAGAGGGUGAGAAUCCCGUCUUUGACACGGACUACCAAUGCUUUGUGAUGCGCUCUCAAAGAGUCGCGUUGUUUGGGAAUGCAGCGCAAAAUGGGAGGUGAAUUCCUUCUAAAGCUAAAUAUUGGCGAGAGACCGAUAGCGAACAAGUACCGUGAGGGAAAGAUGAAAAGCACUUUGGAAAGAGAGUUAAACAGUACGUGAAAUUGCUAAAAGGGAAACGCUUGAAGUCAGUCGCGUCGUCCGGAACUCAGCUUUGCUUCGGCUUAGUGCACUUUCCGGUUGACGGGCCAGCAUCGAUUUUGACCGCUGGAAAAGGGCUGGAGGAAUGUGGCACCUUCGGGUGUGUUAUAGCCUUCAGUCGCAUACAGGGGUUGGGAUCGAGGAACGCAGCG
rnacentral:rRNA from 1 species